AUGAACAACAAGCUUGCCGAGCAUAUUCAGAAAUUCCUGAAGAGACUGGUUGAUGAUCACAGAUGCAUUGACCUUGAGUGGCUCAGAGACGUUCCACCUGACCAAGAAAAAGAGUAUUUGCUGAGCGUACGAGGACUGGGAUUAAAAAGUGUGGAGUGUGUGCGCCUGUUAACACUGCACCAUCUUGCCUUCCUGAUAAACACAAAUGUUGGACGUAUAUCAGUACAAUUGGGAUGGGUACCUCUCCAACCACUGCCUGAGUCAUUAUAG